rnacentral:rRNA from 1 species
AGGGAGUUUGAUCCUGGCUCAGGACGAACGCUGGCGGCGUGCUUAACACAUGCAAGUCGAACGAGACGAUUGAAAGCUUGCUUUUGAGAGUCGAGUGGCAAACGGGUGAGUAACGCGUAGACAACCUGCCGCAAAGAUGGGGACAACAGUCCGAAAGGACUGCUAAUACCGAAUGUUGUGCAAUCUCCGCAUGGAGGAUGCAUUAAAGAUGGCCUCUACUUGUAAGCUAUCGCUUUGUGAUGGGUCUGCGUCUGAUUAGCUAGUUGGUGGGGUAAUGGCCUACCAAGGCGACGAUCAGUAGCCGGUCUGAGAGGAUGAACGGCCACAUUGGAACUGAGACACGGUCCAGACUCCUACGGGAGGCAGCAGUGGGGAAUCUUCCGCAAUGGGCGAAAGCCUGACGGAGCAACGCCGCGUGAGUGAAGAAGGGUUUCGGCUCGUAAAGCUCUGUUGUCGGGGACGAAUGUGCAAGAUGCGAACAGUUUCUUGCAAUGACGGUACCUGACGAGGAAGCCACGGCUAACUACGUGCCAGCAGCCGCGGUAAUACGUAGGUGGCGAGCGUUGUCCGGAAUUAUUGGGCGUAAAGGGAGCGCAGGCGGGAAGGCAAGUCAGUCUUAAAAGUGCGGGGCUCAACCCCGUGAUGGGAUUGAAACUGUCUUUCUUGAGUGCAGGAGAGGAAAGCGGAAUUCCUAGUGUAGCGGUGAAAUGCGUAGAUAUUAGGAGGAACACCAGUGGCGAAGGCGGCUUUCUGGACUGUAACUGACGCUGAGGCUCGAAAGCGUGGGGAGCGAACAGGAUUAGAUACCCUGGUAGUCCCCU